rnacentral:tRNA from 1 species
AGUUAAUGAACUUGUAAAGUAUAUGUUUUGAAAACAUAAUAAAGAGGUUCAACCCUCUAUUAACUU